UCCUACGGGAGGCAGCAGUGGGGAAUUUUCCGCAAUGGGCGAAAGCCUGACGGAGCAAUACCGCGUGAGGGAAGACUGCCUAUGGGUUGUAAACCUCUUUUUUCAGGGAGGAAUAAAUGACGUGUACCUGAAGAAUAAGCAUCGGCUAACUCCGUGCCAGCAGCCGCGGUAAGACGGAGGAUGCAAGUGUUAUCCGGAAUCACUGGGCGUAAAGCGUCUGUAGGUGGUUUAAUAAGUCAACUGUUAAAUCUUGAGGCUCAACUUCAAAAUCGCAGUCGAAACUAUUAGACUAGAGUAUAGUAGAGGUAAAGGGAAUUUCCAGUGGAGCGGUGAAAUGCGUAGAUAUUGGAAAGAACACCGAUGGCGAAAGCACUUUACUGGGCUAUUACUAACACUCAGAGACGAAAGCUAGGGUAGCAAAUGGGAUUAGAUACCCCAGUAGUCCUAGCCGUAAACAAUGGAUACUAGAUGUUGAACAGAUCGACCUGUGCAGUAUCAAAGCUAACGCGUUAAGUAUCCCGCCUGGGAAGUAUGCUCGCAAGAGUGAAACUCA
rnacentral:rRNA from 1 species